CUAUUGCUUGAUAUUAAAAAAAAGAUUGAAAAAAUACACAGUACUGCUUCACUCUCUCUCUCUCCCAUUUCUCCUCACCCGAUUCUCUCUUCCAUUUCUCCAAUCUCUCUCAUGGAUUUCUAGCAAUCAUUCUUGUGAUCUCAAGCUCUCAUCAACAUCGGCAUGGAUAGAUUACUAGGGUAUUCAAGGCAAAGGAGCACGCUAAAGUUGAGUUUACUAUAAUUGAGCUGCCUCACAGGAAAAUCUUACUUUUGUUUGCAUUUUGCAAGAGGUUGGUAUUGAUUUUGCAAGAGAGCCUGAUGCAUUUUUGUGGAGGCCUACUUCAGGGAUGACUUGUAUUGAAGAAAGUGUAGGAAGUGUUAUUGCUUGGCCAGCCGACAAAGUCAUAAUGAGGGAUAACUAGUAUCGAAGAUAGUGUUGGAAGUGUUACUGCUUGGCUUUCCGACAAAGUUAUAAUGAGGUGAUGAAGAUAGCGACACGGGAAUUAGAUGCUUGCAAUUAAUAAAGAGAUAGUAUUGGACAAAUGUUACAAUUUGCCUUUUAUUAGACUUAUUAGACAUAUUAUUUCUAAGCAUAAACUUUUAUUAUGUUAUUUUGCACUUGAAUUUUUUUUCAUUUGUGACACAUGUAUUGGAUAUUUUGGUUGAUAAAAAAAUACAUUUAGACUUUAUCAAA